rnacentral:lncRNA from 1 species
UCACGAGGACAUCCACCACGACCACCGACUCUACCGACGCCACGGCCGCGACGUCCACCAGAGGAGGAGAUCGCGCACGAUGACGAGGUCCAUGACGAUGCCACGAACCCAUGCGCCACAAACCGACGCGUCGUCGUCGACGCCCUACCGACUUCUCUUCCUCUUCCUCCUUUCCUCUCUCGCGUUGUUCGCCCUCUCUCGUCUAACCUUCCUGAUGCCAACGUCGAUCGAUGCUUUUAUCCUGCGUCCUUCUCCUCCACAGCCAGUUAAAUGUCACUUCUCGCGCCACCGUUUGAACGUAUUCUUUGACAGAGUCCUGGUGUCCUCGGUAUUCCGCGUGUGACACGCAUUGCCAUAUGUUUUUCGAUUUUUGUAUCGGGCGAGCCCCUUCGGAAAAUUGCGACCGCUGGGAAUUGCGGUAGGUCUCAGAGUGGGAAACGAAGUCGAGUGGUUUGAGGUACGAAGAGGAAGUUUCUGCGUUAGGAAUUCGACCUACUCCUGUCUGAUAAGUUUCGUUGUAAAUGUAUUGGUCGGCUGUUUAGAAAUUAUCUCUAAUUAAGCAAUAUUUUUAAUGUAUAUUUAUGAUGCUUUAAUAAUAGCACAAAGAAGAUGAGACAAAGUGAAAUAUCGUUUUAUACGUAUGCUACUAAUAACGUUCAUUUGUGAUUAUUUUAAUAGAUACGUUGGAAGAAUUUGUAAAGCUAGUCGAUGGUGAAGUAAAAUACUUAAUAUUUAACGAGAAAAUUUUGACAUAUUUUAAAGCGUAGAAUAUUUACAUUAUAAAUUUCACAGGAUGAAAGUAUAUAAAACAAAUUUACGCAAGGUAACGACACAAUUUUCUUUCACAUCCUACACUGUACAAAAUCGGACUAAGUCCUAUCACUUGGUAUUUCGAAACAAUGGUUCCACUGUUUCGAAACAAUUGCCAUUCACAACGUCGACAGCUACUCUUCCUCUCAGAAAGCUUUUAACACUUUGUAACAGAAUUUACAACAAGACCGGGUAUACGUUUAAUCUUUGAUUGGUAUGACGAUGAAGAAAGAGGAAGAACGAGUGACGUAACCGUGGGAACUUAUGGAAGAGAGUGAUUGUCCCUCGAGGCAUAAAGAGAUUUUAAUUACACGUAUAUUCUUAUAAAAACCUAGUUAUACUUUUUAUGAAAAAAGGUUCCUCGUUUCAAGUACUCGGUUCUUACCGUCGAUGAAUGGAAAGAGGUUUGUAAUUGAUCUAAUAAGAAGACCGAAAUUAUUUAGAUACGCUGUAUCAACGAAUAGUUCAAUUAAAUGGUUUAAUGGUCAUCGAUAAUGAGCGGAUGUUUUGUACGUGCUGUCACUUGCCAAGAAGCUGUUGGCACUUUUGCAAGGGACUAUCGGUAAACGAACGAAGCUGAAUUAUUGCCGACGAGAGACUCACGUUUAUCCAAAGGGAAUCGACGGAGUCGCCUACGCGAUGCUAAUUGCUUCGAGAAUAUCAUCGAUCCAUAUCAAAAUCUUGGAAGAACAGAAAUUAGAAACGUUGUCUCAAAAAUAGCUACGCUGACUAAUGGACGAACUAGACGCAAGUCGGAAUACAAAUUAGGAGACCACGCAUAUGCUUCGUUUAAAGAUAUGGCUACGAAUACUAUGACACGACCUACUACAGGUCGCUUCAGAAGAAAUUACUCUGACAGAGUGUAAGUUACCACGGAGAUGUUUCCAUAAAUCGUUGCUCUUAUCCACUAGUAUACGUAAAAUCGAAUAAAAUAGUCCAUUAUAUACGUAAACAUACAAAAUUUAACAGAAUCGUAAACUUCUUUACGACAAUCGUAAAAUUACGGACAAGAAAAUAUCGUUUAGAAAUUAAGAUCUACGCUUACGAAAGAAAAAUCUGUACCGGUUCAGAACUUGGACAAAUUAAAAAGAAUUCAAAGCCACGAUUAAAAAUUAACUCACUGCUUAA